GCGAACGCUGGCGGCGUGCCUACACAUGCAGUCGAGCGAUUCCUUCGGGGAGAGCGGCGGACGGGUGAGUAACGCGUGGGUAACCUGCCCUGUACACACGGAUAACAUACCGAAAGGUAUGCUAAUACGGGAUAAUAUAUGAAAGUUGCAUAGCUUUCAUAUCAAAGCUUUUGCGGUACAGGAUGGACCCGCGUCUGAUUAGCUAGUUGGUAAGGUAACGGCUUACCAAGGCGACGAUCAGUAGCCGACCUGAGAGGGUGAUCGGCCACACUGUAACUGAGACACGGUCCAAACUCCUACGGGAGGCAGCAGUGGGGAAUAUUGCACAAUGGGCGAAAGCCUGAUGCAACAACGCCGCGUGAGCGAUGAAGGCCUUCGGGUCGUAAAGCUCUGUCCUCAAGGAAGAUAAUGACGGUACUUGAGGAGGAAGCCCCGGCUAACUACGUGCCAGCCCGCCGCGGUAAC
rnacentral:rRNA from 1 species